ACAGAUGCAUGCAUGUUGGCAGGCUUGCAGCCAGUUGAUCUGAAUCACAAACACCGUGUGAAACUUUUUUUUCCCCCCCGACCCUUCGACAUGUACGUAUCUUUCUUUUCGCAGGCCGUUCUCGAUCGUGGCCGCUUGGUGGUAUCAUCAUCCAUUUGAGUGGGAGCGGCGAAGACGGAAGACCCGGUCGUCGCCUCGUCGGCAUGCCCGUAGGGACUUGUCAUCAUCCACGCGACCGCAUCAGUGCCCACAACGUACGGUAUGGGCCUGUUUGAUUGCCUGCAUCCGGACUAGCCAGCCUCUCCAGAUGCGACGUUAGCUUGUUUGGUUACCUGUGUCUGGCUGGCCAUAUGCAAAAAGCACCGCUGGGCCUGGCUCCCAAGAAAUGAGAGAAUCAGCCGUUCCCGGCGAGCCAGGCUCGUGGCAUGCGGACAUUAGUCCAGUUAAUGAUGCUGUUAGCACAUAAUGAAUGCAUGUUAAGCGAUUUUAAUUUAUUUCAAAGCAGAUUAGGACUUGGUAAGAUAAAG
rnacentral:lncRNA from 1 species